rnacentral:rRNA from 1 species
UACGGGGGGGGCAAGCGUUGUUCGGAAUUACUGGGCGUAAAGGGCUCGUAGGCGGCCAACUAAGUCAGACGUGAAAUCCCUCGGCUUAACCGGGGAACUGCGUCCGAUACUGGAUGGCUAGAGUUCGGGAGAGGGAUGCGGAAUUCCAGGUGUAGCGGUGAAAUGCGUAGAUAUCUGGAGGAACACCGGUGGCGAAGGCGGCAUCCUGGACCGACACUGACGCUGAGGAGCGAAAGCCAGGGGAGCAAACGGG